rnacentral:rRNA from 1 species
UACGUAGGGACCGAGCGUUGUCCGGAAUCAUUGGGCGUAAAGAGCGUGUAGGCGGCCACUUAAGUCCUGCGUGAAAUCUUGCGGCUCAACCGCAAGCGGUCGUGGGAAAUUGGGUGGCUAGAGUCCGGAAGAGGAGAGUGGAAUUCCCGGUGUAGCGGUGAAAUGCGCAGAUAUCGGGAAGAACACCCGUGGCGAAGGCGGCUCUCUGGGACGGUACUGACGCUGAGACGCGAAAGCGUGGGGAGCGAACAGG